GACGAACGCUGGCGGCGUGCUUAACACAUGCAAGUCGAACGGAAAGGCCCUGCUUUUGUGGGGUGCUCGAGUGGCGAACGGGUGAGUAACACGUGAGUAACCUGCCCUUGACUUUGGGAUAACUUCAGGAAACUGGGGCUAAUACCGGAUAGGAGCUCCUGCUGCAUGGUGGGGGUUGGAAAGUUUCGGCGGUUGGGGAUGGACUGGCGGCUUAUCAGCUUGUUGGUGGGGUAGUGGCUUACCAAGGCUUUGACGGGUAGCCGGCCUGAGAGGGUGACCGGCCACAUGGGGACUGAGAGACGGCCCAGACUCCUACGGGAGGCAGCAGUGGGGAAUAUUGCACAAUGGGCGGAAGCCUGAUGCAGAAACGCCGCGUGCGGGAUGACGGCCUUCGGGUUGUAAACCGCUUUCGCCUGUGACGAAGCGUGAGUGACGGUAAUGGGUAAAGAAGCACCGGCUAACUACGUG
rnacentral:rRNA from 1 species